AACGGUCUAUACCUGCGGUACCUGCGGAGGGAUCAUUACCGAGUUAGGGUUCCUCUCACGGGCCCGACCUCCCAACCCUGUGUCUAUCACACCUUGUCGUUGCUUCGGCGGACCGGUUUGACUCCGGUCGCGACCGCCGGGGGUGCUUCACCCCGGGAGAGCGUCCGCCGAUGGCCCAACCACAAAACUUCUUUGUACCAAAACCGGUCGUCUAAAUCAAACUUGAUCAUAAUCAAAAAA
rnacentral:misc_RNA from 1 species